ACAUAACCAUUUUUAUGAUUUUAUGCUGUUGCAAUAGUAUUUGUACGUGUCUAUUUUCAAUUUUGCCAGUUUGCUUUUGCAUACAGCCGCACUGCUGAGGUGUUGGGGAAAAAAAUAAAAAAUAUUCUCGAAGCUGCUGAAACGAAUCGACAUUCCAACGAAUCAUCUGGUCCUCGCGGUCAGGAUGCGCUUCUUCCGACGACGUGUGCCGGAGUUCGUAUGGAUGCCGGCAUCAAAUCCCAUUGACGGCGGAUGCGGUCAAUUUGCCAUCGCUGGAUUUAAAAUGCGGAUUCAAAUAAACCGUAGGGAUGUGUUGCUGCUGCUGCUGAUCAAGCUGCCGAUGAUGUUGAUCGCGUGAGUGCUGUUUAUAAAAAUUCAUGAAGACCGUGAACAGAGGCCGUGAUGAUGCCUGCCUCCGGAAUGCAUGUGUUGCAGCGUUCUGGAAGUUGGAAAGUCCUUCAACAACAGAUACCGACAAUUAGAUGCCGGCAUAAACUAAAAUUAACCGGAUGAGUCAACCAGAUCAUUCUACCCGUGCUAAAAAGGAAUUUUAAUAUCAUGGAGUAUAUUCCAGCGCCGGAAAGAUAGACAGGACGAUACCUAUUUUAAAAGCAAAGUAAUACGAUGAGCGUUUGGAUGCGAAUGGAAUACGUAAAUGAUUAACUUCACACCGAUUUAGUAUAGGAAUCCUGGAUUUCCCGAAUAAGAAUCCACUCCAUCAAAUUGUAAUUUGAAACAAUAGCGUAAUAAAGCCCCCCACGCAAUGCAGCGGAACGGCAACGAAAACGGCAAGAUUUGACAGUUAGUCCAUAUAUUUUCUGUCAAAUUUGCCGUUUCCGUCGCCGUUCCGCUACUAUUGCGUUUGGGGCUUAAAUGAGCUGAGUUAGAUCUCAACUCAAUUUAUUUAUUUUUUUAUAAUUUUUUAAUUUAAUUUAAUCAGACCCGUUGAUUGAAAUUUUAUCGGCGGUGGCGUGUUAGAUCGUUUUCAGCCAGCGGCAACGGCGUGAUGGUGUCACACCGUUCACACUUAAAUCAUUUCACAGAUUUCGGUGAAGUUUGCUUCAGUUCACCGGAAUCUCAACAGCUGAAUUGUUCGGUAAUUAUUUCACCGACUUCCUGCGAUGAUUGGUAAUCGACGACAGCGGUGUGGGGCCACGUACAUUCAUUUCAUGCACUAAAACUUCACCGUUUCUCCAGGAAUUCCUCCGAUAGUUCCUCCUUAAAUUCCUCCAGAAGUUCCUUAAGGCAUUCCUCCGGGAGUUCCUUCAGGAAUGCCCCCGAAAGUUCCUCCAGGAAUUAUGGAAGCUCCUCAAAGGAUUUUUCCGCAAUUCAUCCGGAAGUUCCUCCAGAAGUUUCUCCAGAAAUUCCUUUGGAAGUUUCUUCAGGAAUUUCUCCGAAAAUUGCUCAAAGAAUUCCUCCGGAAGUUCCUCCAAGUUUUCCUCCGGAA